GACGAACGCUGGCGGCGUGCUUAACACAUGCAAGUCGAACGGAAAGGCCUCUUUCGGGGGGUACUCGAGUGGCGAACGGGUGAGUAACACGUGAGUAACCUGCCCUUGACUUUGGGAUAACUUCAGGAAACUGGGGCUAAUACCGGAUAGGAGCUCCUGCUGCAUGGUGGGGGUUGGACAUUUUCGGCGGUUGGGGAUGGACUCGCGGCUUAUCAGCUUGUUGGUGGGGUAGUGGCUUACCAAGGCUUUGACGGGUAGCCGGCCUGAGAGGGUGACCGGCCACAUUGGGACUGAGAGACGGCCCAGACUCCGACGGGAGGCAGAAGUGGGGAAUAUUGCACAAGGGGUGGAAGCCUGAUGCAGCAACGCCGUGGGCGGGAUGACGGCCUUCGGGUUGUAAACCGCUUUCGCUCAUGACGAAGCUUUGUGUGACGGUAGUGGGUAAAGAAGCACCGGCUAACUACGUG
rnacentral:rRNA from 1 species